rnacentral:rRNA from 1 species
AAUCCUGUUAUAACUUUCUAUCUUCGGAUUGCAGGCUGCAACUCGCUUGCAUGAAGCCGGAAUCGCUAGUAAUCGCGGAUCAGCAUGCCGCGCUGAAUACGUUCCCGGGCCUUGUACACACCUCCCGUCACACCACGAGAGUUUGUAACACCCGAAGUCGGUGGGGUAACCGUAAGGAGCCAGCCGCCUAAGUGACAGAG